AGUUGCUCCUAGUGCAAUGCCUAUUAUCAAUCUUUUUUCCUAGUCUUGCUUCUACUGAUUUGGAGGGGUUGUACAAAUGCAAUGAGUUGUUAGAAGUCAAGGAAAGCUUGUUUGGUAUUGGUAGUCUUAAAGCCCUUGGGGUUGAUGGGUUCCCUGCGUGUUUAUUUAAGAACCAAUGGCAUAUUUGUGGGCCUACUAUUUUUAAUAUGGUUCAGAAAGUUUUUACUGAUUGUCAAAUUCUAG
rnacentral:lncRNA from 1 species